UCCUUAAUAAUUAAACUACAAAACUAAAAUCCAGGACCUAAGUAGAUGCAUCUUUAAUAGAAGAACAAUAAACUAAAAUUAGCUUACAAAUUCUUAGGACUAUUUUUCUGAAAUGUCCUUAAUAUUUAAACUAAAAAACUAAAAUCCAGGACCUAAUUAGAUGCAUCUUUAAUAGAAGAACAAUUAACUAAACUUAGCUUACAAAUUCUUAGGACUAUUUUUCUGAAAUAUCCUUAAUAUUUAAACUAAAAAACUAAAAUCCAGGACCUAAUUAGAUGCAUCUUUAAUAGAAGCACAAUUAACUAAAAUUAGCUUACAAAUUCUUAGGACUAUUUUUCUAAAAUGUCCUUAAUAUUUAAACUAAAAAACUAAAAUUCAGGACCUAAUUAGAUGCAUCUUUAAUAGAAGCACAGUUAACUAAAAUUCCUAAACACAGCUAGCUUACAAAUUCUUAGGACUAUUUUUCUGAAAUGUCCUUACAUAAUCAAUAUAUUGAUUGAACCACAAACACAUUUCAAUACCAAAAGGUUCUCAAUAACUUUCUCACAAAAAUCUGCACCUUAUUCCUCAACGAAUCAAGUUAUAAUCAUUAUUUUGGACAUUUCACACAUACUUGAUGACAAAUACAGCAUUGAUCACGAUUA
rnacentral:lncRNA from 1 species